ensembl:snoRNA small nucleolar RNA SNORA68
UAUGCACACAAACCCAAGGUCCUGUCUAACAAGUGGCAGGCUCUUAAUGUGUCGUGCAAAAAAUAAUCAUUGAAUCUUGUCGCCUUUCUCUGAUGCUGUAGUGCCGUUGAAAGUGAAUCCAAGGUCCAACAAAC